CUACAGUGAUGAAUCUUUGAACUCUCUCUUACUGAAUCAGCGUUGAAGAAACCUCUUUACCAGAUUCUGAGUAGC